GGAUCGAGGGUCUAUGACAAUGCCAUGACCUAAGCGCCCUGCUGCGCAGAUGAGUUUCCCGUGCCGGUAAUCUCGUAGCUCAGAUUGCAGCCUACGGAGAUCGCCGGUCAUCCAGCAUCUCCUCGGUCCAGAAUUUUGCAAGCAUCCUUGUCCAGGGAGGUCGAGCCAGCAGCACCAUGCUUGAUGAUGAUGCAUCGGCUGAUCGGGAGCUCGAUUACAGCAACAAACCAUGGAGGAUUUCGGGCUACUUGAGCAUUAGGCAGCAAGCCAUGUCGAACUGACAUGGAGUUUGGAAAAGGUCUGCAUCCAGGUGAAAUGGUGAACUAAUAACACGAGUACUCGUACUGCUUCAAACAUGCAUGUCUAUCUCUACAGAGAUUUGGUAUGAAUAUAAUUAAAAGCAUUUGUUUGGACUUCUUGGAUUGUCUGCAUUUUUUUGGUGAAUCUAACAGUUUGUUCUGAAUUAUUCUAUUUUGUUUAUCUGAGCAAAUCAUUCUAUGACUAGCUGAAGUUUCAGGUGUUAAUCCUACAUUUAAAUGACCAUCCAACUUAGUGUUGGGUGACAUGUAGGUGAUAGCUGCAACAAAUCCUAUGGGCAUUCUUCAUCUUGUUUUGUUGUGUUUGGAUCGGCUGAAAAAUAUUUGCAGGCUUCUCCAAGUGAUACCAGUUAGGUGAAUGAAUAUGCAUAUGCGUCGAGGGCUCAUAUACUGGUGUUACAAGUUUCCUAACAUUGAUUAAGUUGGCCUAGAAGGAAGAUUGCUCCAAGAGUGAGUGCACCUAUUAUCAUUGGUCCAGAGGCUGAAGAUCCGUCGAAGCAGGUUAGUUCACAUUGCUCACAUAUGUACCUCUUUGCUCAUCAGAUAUAGCAUGCUAUGUUUUCCUUUCCUUAAGUGUACGAGUCUGCAGUGCAGGAAUUGAGGACCAUUGUUCCUGCUCAGGAGAAAUAAACCAUCAUACAAACAGCUAUAGGGAAUAUAUAUAUGAACGAUUGAACGUUGAUAUGGUUUAGCCAGAUUUGUGAGGACAGAUUUAUCCCCUAAUGAGCUUUACGGUCGGUAUGCUAUAUAUGUUGCAGCAGCUGAUGCAUUCAAACCAAAUUAUUCGGUAUUUCUUUUUUGUGCUAACUGCAUGUUCUUUUCUUGUCUGUAAGAAAAUUGAUAAUUGACAGUGUGUUACUUUUGUAUAAUUGGUCCGGUUGAUGUCAUGACUCAGUUGCUCUAUUUCCUGGCACUAUUUUAUUUCUGUUCUUGCUUCAUGAUGGCUAGAGUAUGGCAUGCCCGUGAUACGGGUAUUUGUUCUGAAAUUGGUUGUUUUUUCAUUGAACUGUGUUGUCAACUUCCUUAAAAUUUGUUUCUUUAAAUAUUUGUUUGUUCUCGUCAGUUUUUGGCACAUUUGUAUUCUCUAGAAGGUAUAAUUUCUAGCUAUUAAUCAUGGAAGAAUAAUUUUAAAAAUAACUAUCAUAGUAAAUGAUGCAGCUACCUUCUCCAUGCCUUAUAUUGGGAUAUUUGACUACUCCUCCAGCAAACAAUACCAUUGCAUAACACACUCACAGUUUGUUUUGAACCAUUAGGGAGAGGGACUCCAUCAGGUUCAUCCUUGUUAUUGGACUGCUCCAGAUGAUAAUCGCCUGGAGUUUGGAGUUACUGAUUUUCGUUUCUGCUCUUUCUACCACCUUGCUCUCUGAAUCUGAGGUUUUCCUUUU